rnacentral:rRNA from 1 species
ACGACGUCUACGAGAAGGUUAGUUAGACUAUGGCUCAGGAUGAACGCUGGCGGCGUGCUUAACACAUGCAAGUCGAACGGAGCUUAGAAGGAAGCUUGCUUCAUUUAAGCUUAGUGGCGGACGGGUGAGUAACGCGUGAGCAACCUGCCCUCGAGUGGGGAAUAACAUCGAGAAAUCGGUGCUAAUACCGCAUAAUGUCGAGAGACCGCAUGAUCUUUCGACCAAAGGAUUUAUUCGCUUGAGGAUGGGCUCGCGUCCGAUUAGUUAGUUGGUGAGGUAACGGCCCACCAAGACUUCGAUCGGUAGCCGAACUGAGAGGUUGAUCGGCCACAUUGGGACUGAGACACGGCCCAGACUCCUACGGGAGGCAGCAGGUGGGGAAUAUUGGGCAAUGGGCGAAAGCCCUGACCCAGCAACGCCGCGUGAAGGAUGAAGGUCUUCGGAUUGUAAACUUCUUUGAUUGGGGAAGAAUAAAAUGACCUACCCAAAGAACAAGCCACGGCUAACUACGUGCCAGCCGCGGC